ACACUUAGCCAACAGGGACAUACCAUGAUCAUGAAGGGGGUUUUCCUAGGGCUCUAAGAAUAUUCAUUGUGGUCUGGAUGUGCUGACCCCUGCAAUUUUCCCAAAUGAGGGAAACUUGAUUGCAUAAUUUAUGGUAAUGAGGACUCUCUCUAUUCAAGUUCUCA